rnacentral:rRNA from 1 species
AGUGAACGCUGGCGGUAGGCCUAACACAUGCAAGUCGAACGGCAGCACAGUAAGAGCUUGCUCUUACGGGUGGCGAGUGGCGGACGGGUGAGGAAUACAUCGGAAUCUACUUUUUCGUGGGGGAUAACGUAGGGAAACUUACGCUAAUACCGCAUACGACCUACGGGUGAAAGCAGGUGAUCUUCGGACCUUGCGCGAUUGAAUGAGCCGAUGUCGGAUUAGCUAGUUGGCGGGGUAAAGGCCCACCAAGGCGACGAUCCGUAGCUGGUCUGAGAGGAUGAUCAGACACACUGGAACUGAGACACGGUCAAGACUCCUACGGGAGGCAGCAGUGGGGAAUAUUGGACAAUGGGCGCAAGCCUGAUCCAGCAAUACCGCGUGGGUGAAGAAGGUCUUCGGGUUGUAAAGCCCUUUUGUUGGGAAAGAAAAGCAGCAGGUUAAUACCCCGCUGUUCUGACGGUACCCAAAGAAUAAGCACCGGCUAACUUCGUG